rnacentral:lncRNA from 1 species
UUUGGCAUCAGCCUGCAAACAGCUGAGAAGCACAAGAAGUGCUGCUGCCUGCUCUUCAGACGUCUGAACUCACCCAGCUUAAAUAUCGAUCACCCCAAAUGCUGGGCUCCAGCAAGCCAUUGUGGAAUUCCCAGGAUUUUCCAACUCAGAAAAAAUCUGAAGAAAGGCAAAAGAGGACAAAUCUGAAAGAACCAAGAAGGAUUAAAGGAUCACUUCCCCGUGACUGUGAAAUGUCCAGAUUCUCCAGGCAUGGUUGUUACCCAGCUUUCCAGUCUGAAAACCCUGCCCCUUCUGGACUUCCUUUUAGAAGCUUAGGUUUUGUAACAAGCUUCAACAAUUUCCUACCUUCCAAGAUUCUUCAUUAUCUACUUAUUCUCUUCAAUUAAAAGAUGCCAGGCACCAGCAAAUUCCUCUUCUUUUGGCCAAGCAUCCAGCAGGCAAGUAUUACAGCUUUUCUGAUCUACUCCAGAUCCAGAGUGAGCUACAGAAUGGAAAAAAUAAAAUUCUAAAACAAGACA